rnacentral:rRNA from 1 species
CACGCCGUAAACUAUGCAUACAAGCUGUAGUGGAAUUUUAUUCUGCUGUGGCGAAGCUAACGCAAUUAGUAUGCCGCCUGGGGAGUACGGUCGCAAGACUAAAACUCAAAGGAAUUGACGGGGGCCCGCACAAGCGGUGGAUUAUGUGGUUUAAUUCGAAGCAACGCGCAGAACCUUACCUAGGUUUGACAUCCCACGACAAUCAUAGAAAUAUGACUUUGUAGCAAUACACGUGGAGACAGGUGC